rnacentral:rRNA from 1 species
UACGGAGGAUGCAAGCGUUAUCCGGAAUGAUUGGGCGUAAAGGGUCCGCAGGUGGCCAUGUAAGUCUGCUGUCAAAGAAUGAGGCUUAACCUCAUCAAGGCAGUGGAAACUACAUAGCUAGAGUACGGUCGGGGUAGAAGGAAUUCCUGGUGUAGCGGUGAAAUGCGUAGAGAUCAGGAAGAACACCGGUGGCGAAAGCGUUCUGCUAGACCUGUACUGACACUGAGGCACGAAAGCUAGGGGAGCGAAUGGG